CCUACGGGUGGCUGCAGUGAGGAAUAUUGGUCAAUGGGCUUACGCCUGAACCAGCCAAGUCGCGUGAGGGAAGACUGCCCUAUGGGUUGUAAACCUCUUUUGUCAGGGAGCAAUUGGCGCUACGUGUAGCGUUAUCGAGAGUACCGGAAGAAGAAGCCCCGGCUAACUACGUGCCAGCAGCCGCGGUAAUACGGAGGGGGCAAGCGUUAUCCGGAUUUACUGGGUGUAAAGGGGGCGCAGACGGCGAUGCAGGCCAGGAGGGAAAGCCCGGGGCCCAACCCCGGGACUGCUCUUGGAACUGGGUGGCUGGAGUGAAGGAGGGGCAGGCGGAAUGCCUGGUGUAGCGGUGAAAUGCGUAGAUAUCAGGAGGAACACCGGUGGCGAAGGCGGCCUGCUGGACUGCAACUGACGUUGAGGCCCGAAAGCGUGGGGAGCAAACAGGAUUAGAUACCCGGGUAGUC
rnacentral:rRNA from 1 species